UUGAAUACUUUUUGACUUAUUCUACAAAUUCCGCCCACUUUUUUGACGCUUAACUAGUUCCACACACUUCAACCGAUUCACUCCGUUCCGCUUUUAACUCAUUCCAAAUAUUAACGACACCGUUGCUUACAUUUUUUUAAUUC